GGGGAAUUUUCCGCAAUGGGCGAAAGCCUGACGGAGCAAUGCCGCGUGGAGGUAGAAGGCUCACGGGUCGUAAACUCCUUUUCUCAGAGAAGAUGCGAUGACGGUAUCUGAGGAAUAAGCAUCGGCUAACUCUGUGCCAGCAGCCGCGGUAAGACAGAGGAUGCAAGCGUUAUCCGGAAUGAUUGGGCGUAAAGCGUCCGCAGGUGGCAAUGUAAGUCUGCUGUUAAAGAGUCUAGCUCAACUAGAUACAAGCAGUGGAAACUACAUAGCUAGAGUACGUUCGGGGCAGAGGGAAUUCCUGGUGUAGCGGUGAAAUGCGUAGAGAUCAGGAAGAACACCAGUGGCGAAGGCGCUCUGCUAGGCCGUAACUGACACUGAGGGACGAAAGCUAGGGGAGCGAAUGGGAUUAGAUACCCCAGUAGUC
rnacentral:rRNA from 1 species